rnacentral:lncRNA from 1 species
AUGGGAGAGAGAAUAGAUAUAAAAGACCUAAAGAACAUAAAAGCAGGCCCUUGCUUAACAAUGUUGUCAAUCUGGAAAAAAUGGCAAACUAAAUUACAAAUAAAUAAAAUUGACCCUUUCCCAUUAGAAACAUUGGAAAAUAAGGAUAAGAUAUUUAGGAAUAUAAUUAAGGCACUGAAGGAAAAUGGUAUUAAAAGGAUUGGGGACCUUAUGGACCCCAAAGGAGAAAUAUUAAAGUGGGAUAAAAUAAAAGAUAAAUGUGGCCAAGGGAACUGGAUAGCAUGGUUAGGUUUGUCCAGUAAAGCCCAGGCCAUGAAAAGAAGAGAAGCAGGUGAAACCCCCCUGAAUAGAAUAAUUAGAAGGAAAUUAGAAACAGACAAAGGAAUGAUUGGGUUAUGGUAUGAUGUACUAACUUAUAGUAUGAAAGAAACGCUUACAGAGAUCUGGAAACAGGAAAAAAACUUUACUGAGAAACUAAUUGGGUCAUGGAUCAAUAAUAUUCAUAAAAUUAAUCAUAUAAGGAUCAAAGAAACACAAAGGAAAAUAAUCACAAAAUGGUAUAGAACCCCCCUACAAUUGGCUCAUAUAACGGGAAGUACCUCGAACAAAUGUUGGCAUAAAUGUGGGGGAAUAGGUUCAUUCUCCCACAUGUGGUGGGACUGUAAAAAAAUUCAAAUCUUUUAUAGCAAAAUAAGAAAAGAAAUGGAAGAAAUAAUAGGGAAAGAAUUAAUAUGGGACAAAGCCAGAUUUAUGUCCCUCACAAUAAAGGUAAGGGAAGAUAACAAUAAUUGGACCGAGAUUCUAAAAUAUAUGACAGCCGCAAUACAAGCCACAAUAGCCCGAGGAUGGAGGGAUGAGACAAAAUGGAACGUAGAAAUUUGGUGGUCUUAUAUAUCAGAAUAUAUAAUCAAUGAUUUCAUUAAUCAAAGGAAAAGAAAAUAUACAAAUUGUCUAAAAGAACCUGACUGGUUCAGGAAAUGGUCAGUCCUAAUUAACAAAAUAGAUGGAGACGAAAGAUACACCACCUUGAACCAGGCGUUCCACACAGUUAAAAUGAUACAAUGA